rnacentral:rRNA from 1 species
UGGUGGAGUGAUUUGUCUGGUUAAUUCCGUUAACGAACGAGACCCCUGUCUACUAAAUAGGUGGUGUAGUGAAUUUUCACUGCAUUCAUCUUCUUAGAGGGACGUGCGCUCUUCAAGGUGCAGGAAGAGAGGGGCAAUAACA